UACGGAGGUGGCAAGCGUUGUUCGGAAUUACUGGGCGUAAAGGGCGCGUAGGCGGCAAGGCAAGUCAGGUGUGAAAGCCCCGAGCUUAACUCGGGAAUUGCAUCUGAAACUGCUGUGCUUGAGUUCUGGAGGGGGUAGUGGAAUUCCCAGUGUAGCGGUGAAAUGCAUAGAUAUGUCACAGAACACCAAUUGCGAAGGCAGCUUACUAAGGUGCAAUUGACGCUGAGGCACGAAAGCGUGGGGAUCAAACAGG
rnacentral:rRNA from 1 species